GAUGAACGCUGGCGGCGUGCUUAACACAUGCAAGUCGAACGGAAAGGCUCCUGCUUGCAGGGGUACUCGAGUGGCGAACGGGUGAGUAACACGUGGGUGAUCUGCCCAGCACUUCGGGAUAAGCCUGGGAAACUGGGUCUAAUACCGGAUAGGACGAUGGUUUGGAUGCCAUUGUGGAAAGUUUUUUCGGUGUGGGAUGAGCUCGCGGCCUAUCAGCUUGUUGGUGGGGUAAUGGCCUACCAAGGCGUCGACGGGUAGCCGGCCUGAGAGGGUGUACGGCCACAUUGGGACUGAGAUACGGCCCAGACUCCUACGGGAGGCAGCAGUGGGGAGUAUUGCACAAUGGGCGCAAGCCUGAUGCAGCGACGCCGCGUGGGGGAUGACGGCCUUCGGGUUGUAAACUCCUUUCGCUAGGGACGAAGCGCAAGUGACGGUACCUGGAGAAGAAGCACCGGCUAACUACGUG
rnacentral:rRNA from 1 species